GAAAACCCUUGGCCCAGGAGAGAUCACGGAAGGCUGGUCACAAACCAAGCCAGAUGUUGACUUUCUUAAGACCAGCGAAUAGAGACAGGAGUUUCUUUUAUACUUAGAGAAACCAGAGAGUUUCACGGUAGCGUAACAACACGAGUGCCUCUGGCCACUCUGGAUCCACUCUGCCUCCUGCCUCUCAGCCACACAGUAUGCCCAUUCUUCUGUGGCAUCAUUUAUCUCCCUCUGGUUUUCUCCACUGUGAAUCCUCACACAUAUCACUUAACUUAGUAAGCAAGUCUCCAUCUGUCUUGAAAAAAAGAAGAAAAUGAUGAUGGAAUGGAAGAAAGAGAACUAAAGGAGAGCCAUCAAAUCAGACAAAAGCUAUCUGUCUCUUUGGAGAGACAACCUCUGGGCUCAUCCACUGCAUUACAUUCUUAGAGCUUGUAGAAGAGCGGUCAUUAAAUAUUUUCAAGGCUACAGACUCCUUCAAGAAUUGAUAAAAGCUAUAGAACUUCUUUCCACAAAAAUGCAUGUAUUGCACACUGAAUGUCUGCAUGCAGUCCUUGAGGGGAGGACCUCUGAGGCCUAUCUCUGAGUCUGCAGUGUCCAUGAGCCCAUGUCAGGAAUUCCUGCAACACACAUUAUGUGAUUUUAAAAUACUUAAAUGAAAGUUUUUUCCAGUGUCCUCCAGAAGCAAAUUCCAUUAAACAAGCCAAUGUGUAUAAUAU
rnacentral:lncRNA from 10 species